UCAGUUCAUGUUCAUUUCUUCACUUCAAUACUUCACCACUUCACUAUCAAAAAAUAGCGGUGUUCGAGUAGAUUAGGCACGAUUUUGUUCUUAUUUGUUUUUAACCGUACUGUGUGGUGUGAACCUCUCCGGCGUUUAUAACAAAAAAGAAGAAGGAAUUGACAUGAUUUCAUGACUGCAGGAUUAAGGUGACACAUUCAAGAUGAUAAGCUUAAGCAUUUUAAAGCAAUCCACAAUCGUCCAUCUGUGUUUUGCUAUAUCUUACUUCACAUCUGGCUUGAUUCUGACCUUUAUACAAGCUAUUUUAUACUUUGGACUCAGGCCAUUCAAUAAAUCUUUGUACAGAAAGAUAAAUUAUUAUCUGGCAUACUCAUUUUACAGUCAAUUAGUGUUUAUGUCAGAAUGGUGGUCAAAUUCAAAGCUUAUUAUUUACAUUAAAAAGGAUGAAUAUGAAAAAUAUUAUGGGAAAGAACAUGGAUACCUUAUAAUGAACCACAGUUAUGAAAUAGAUUGGCUCAUGGGAUGGCAUUUCUGCAAUACUAUAGGAGUUUUGGGAGUGAGUAUUUUUAUAAUU